rnacentral:sRNA from 1 species
UCAAGAUUUUCUCAGUUUCUUUUCGAAUUCAUUCGACAUGUACAUCCUGCGAUAGCUUUUUCUUAAUACCCAAUGUUAGUAGCUUCGGUGUUGACUUUUUCAAUAAUUAUCGAGGUAUAUAUGUCUAAUAAAACAACUGGUUCAGUAAAAUGGUUUAACGAAACAAAAGGUUUCGGUUUUAUCACUCCGGAUAACGGCGGCGCAGAUGUCUUCGUUCACUUUAAUGCGAUUGCUGCAGACGGUUUCAAAACUCUUGCAGAAGGCCAACAAGUGAGCUUUGACGUCGAGCAAGGUGCCAAAGGCCCUCAAGCUGCGAACGUGACUCCCGUUUAAUUGCGGUUCCCGGAGAUGGAUGAUUCGUCCGUCUCCUUUU